rnacentral:rRNA from 1 species
UACGUAGGGGGCAAGCGUUGUCCGGAAUCAUUGGGCGUAAAGAGCUCGUAGGCGGUUUGUCGCGUCUGCUGUGAAAACUCACAGCUCAACUGUGGGCGUGCGGGCGAUACGGGCAGACUGGAGUACUGCAGGGGAGACUGGAAUUCCUGGUGUAGCGGUGGAAUGCGCAGAUAUCAGGAGGAACACCGGUGGCGAAGGCGGGUCUCUGGGCAGUAACUGACGCUGAGGAGCGAAAGCGUGGGGAGCGAACAGG